rnacentral:lncRNA from 1 species
CUCCAACCCCCCUGCAGUGGGCUGUGUCCAGGGCCCCAUCCACAGCCAUGGGCACUUCCAGGAAUGGGGCACACAGAACAAAGCGUUCUGAGUAGACAAGGUUCCAACCAAAGCACUGCAGCUGAAACGUAUACAGAAUUACUGCUGCUCUAACCUAAUAGCACACAAAGCGCUUAGCAGCCACAUGCAGAAGACAUCUUCCAUGUGGGAUCACAGCUCUGGGAUCAAGCAACAUGGAGUGCUUCUGGACAGCCCCGUGCAAGAUUUAUCACCUGCAAAGCUGUGACCCCACACUGCUCCACUCUGUGCCACCAGCAGGCAGUGAAGUCCCUCACCCAUUCACCAGCACAACAGAGAAAGCAACAUGAGCUGAUAGGAAUCCUAUUUCUAAGGGCCAGAGAGCUGAGAACCAGCGUAACUCCUGUGUAUUCAGUGCUGUGAUACAUUCAGCUAUUGCUCAAUAAUUGUUGCCAUUCAAUGUUUAAC